rnacentral:misc_RNA from 1 species
GAUGAAGAACGUAGUGAAAUGCGAUACUUGGUGUGAAUUGCAGAAUCCCGUGAACCAUCGAGUCUUUGAACGCAAGUUGCGCCCGAAGCCAUUAGGCCGAGGGCACGCCUGCCUGGGCGUCACACGUCGUUGCCCCCCCAUCUACUCCUUCGGGAUUGCGGGGGGCGGAUGAUGGCCUCUCGUGCGCCUCGUCGCGCGGUUGGCCUAAAUGCCAAGUCCUCGGCGACGCACGCCACGACAAUCGGUGGUUGCGAAACCUCGGUUGCCUGUCGUGUGCGGUCGUCGCGCAUCGAGGGCUCGAAAAAAUUGCCGGGCUUCGGCUCGACUUUCAACGCGACCCCAGGUCAGGCGGGGUUACCCGCUGAAUUUAAGCAUAUCAAUAGCGGAGGA